rnacentral:rRNA from 1 species
GACGAACGCUGGCGGCGUGCUUAACACAUGCAAGUCGAGCGAACACCAUCCGGUGGCAACACUGGUGAAGUGUGAGCGGCGAACGGGUGAGUAACACGUGAGCAACCUGCCCCCAAGUCUGGGAUAACCCCGGGAAACCGGAGCUAAUACCGGAUGCCCUCUCCGGACCGCAUGGUCUGGCGAGGAAAGUUUUUCGCUUGGGGAGGGACUCGCGGCCUAUCAGCUUGUUGGUGGGGUAAUGGCCCACCAAGGCUUCGACGGGUAGCUGGUCUGAGAG